AGCUUCUCUGUCUCUCCCCCUGGUGGGCGGAGAUUUGCUCCGCAUUUGCAUAAAGCUGUGAAGAAAUCUUCGUCGUUCUCCCUCUCUCUCCCGGAUCCUCCUUGGGAAUGGGCAGUCGGAAGACGCUGGGUAGGCCAUCCCGGGACAACCCAAUCUCAACUGGGCACUCCCCCUCCCCCCACCACCGCCGACUAACCCUAACACCAACUCGCUGGAUGACUGUCGAACUUUUCUUUAAGUACAGACUCAACUUUAAGUUGGAUCAAACUAGAGAAAGUUUUCAACCUUAACUAAAACUUAUCAACGUUUGUUGAACUCUAUUUUCUUGGACCUGCUUAUUUCAUUUCUGGUACACAAUUACUCAGAACAGCAAUAACCAGACUGCAAGAGUGCCUCACAGGCUGGGAAAGGGUUUGAGGAACCCCGAGACCACGAUGUACGGUGGAGAGCAUUCUGACUGGUCGCAUCACCGCCUGGUAUGGAGGCUCCAAUGCGCAGGGUUGCAAGAGGCUGCAGAGGGUUGUGGACUCAGCCAGCUCCAUCACGGGCUCAACUCUCCCUGCCAUCGAGGACAUCUUCAUGAGGCGGUUUCUCAAGAAGGCGGCAUCCAUCACUAAGGACCUUCACCAUCCGGGACAUACCCUCUUCUUGUUACUACCAUCGGGGUGGGGGUACAGGAGCCUGAAGACCCACACUCAAUGUUUCAGGAACAGCUUCUUCCCCUCUGCCAUCAGAUUUCUGAACGGUCCAUGAACCCAUAAGCACAAGCUCAUUAUUCCUGUUUUGCACUAUUUAUUUUUUUUGUAACUUACAGCAAUUUUUAUGUCUUGCGCUGUACUGCUGCCACACAUAACAAAUGUCAUGACAUAUACCUGUGAUAAUAAACAUGAU